UUUUGGAAGGGAUGUCAUUUAAAAAUACUCUUCGCUUGCUGGAAGAAUCGGAGGUUUGGAGGGUUGCACGGGGCGGGGGGGAAAAUGGAGAAAGGAGUAUCGACAAGCCGCCUGCACCUUAGAAGUCGAGGAGAAACUCUAAAUACCAAACCCCAGGAGAUUUCUAAUUUGUUUCUGAGUUCGGGUCCCUUCUCUGCCAGUAACUCACUGUGUGACCUUGAGCAAAUCACCACCGCUUUAGGUGGCAGCUUCCUCAACCUUAAAAUUUGAGGAUUGUACAGGUGACUCCUGAGGUCCUUUUCACUUCAAUCAUUCCUGUUUUUAAUCCUUUUGGAGGUUUGCUUCCCCACGACCUCCCUUGCACGCUCAUUUCUAACAUCAUUACCUGAUCUACUGCCUCCUCUUUAAAAUGUCACCCUCCUCCAACAUAGGCUUUUUUCUAUUCACUGUCACCAGUCAUUUCUCAACAAUCUGGUCCGCUUGCUGAGCUGGGGAGGGGGCAAGGCUUGCCAACCCCUUCAACUCUCAGCUUCACAGAGGUGAUUUUGCUUCACAGAGGUGAUUUUUCUUCCCUCGUUUGCCCCCACCCAAAUCCAAGUGUACAGGGCCAAUCUAAGGGGGAGGGUGGGCUGUGUAAAACUGGAUCCCCUUCCCCAAAGGAGAGGUGUCUGUCAUGCCAGUCCCACCCCUCACGCACACACACCUGCAUUCAUGGACAUAAAACCAACCCAGUGACGCCCGAGCCUCUUUCAUCUCGGGAUCUCCCAGCGCCAGGCAGAGCUCUAAUUACCCCAGCACCCCCCUGGCCCUGCCUGUUCCCCUGCUGUCAUUAGCCCAGUUUUACCAGCGGGGGCCACAGCCUUCCCACGGCUCCCAGGGCGGGGCCCUGUCUCUGCAGUCUGCUUGGAAAGGGGUGUGUGUGUGUGUGUGUGUGUGUGUGUGUGUGUGUGUGUGUGUGGUAGGGGGGUUCUGAGUUGGGCUGCCCUCACUCAACUUCGUCUCAGCCACCUGCAUCCUCAGCUCUCUUGGAGCCACUUCUUUCACAGGGGGUACUGGGCUUUGCAAUACAUGGGAGAGAGGAGGGCGCCUCUCCUGGGACCCCCUGGAAUCACAAGGAUGAGAAAGGCAGUUGGGAUGAAACCCAUGGGAUGCAGAGCAGAGUGGUGGUGAUGAGGGGUUUUCAGAGGGUGAAGGAGCUUGCAGUGGGAAAUUGGGGCUGCAGUCUGCAGAGUUAGCAUGCAGUAAGUGAACCUGUGCGUUCAGCCUGGGCUCAUGGUGGACAGGCAACAGCUGCAGUGUGGGGCGGGAGGCUGA